rnacentral:misc_RNA from 1 species
GAUGAAGAACGCAGUGAAAUGCGAUAAGUAAUGCGAAUUGCAGAAUUCCAGUGAGUCAUCGAAUCUUUGAACGCACAUUGCGCCCUUUGGUAUUCCGAAGGGCAUGCCUGUUCGAGCGUCAUUAUCACCCCUCAAGCCCCCGGCUUGGUGUUGGACGGCUUGGUGGAGACCCUUUUGUGGCCCACCCCUCCCAAAGACAAUGACGGCGGCCUCGUUGGACCCCCGGUACACUGAGUUCUUCACGGGACACGUAUCGGACACACGGGUUUACGGGUCACGGUCUGCCUCCCCUCAGGGAGAACUUUUCUAAGGUUGACCUCGGAUCAGGUAGGGAUACCCGCUGAACUUAAGCAUAUCAAUAAGCGGAGGA